AAGCAAAAGCUGAAAAUAGAAACAGGUUUUGAUCGCACUAGCUAGUUCAAGGGUUUGACUAAUAAAGACAGUAUCACCACCGUCGGAAUGAGGAAUUCUCCGGCAAUUUCCACGGCGGAAUCCGGCAACAAAAGUGGAAUUAGAUGGUUUUCCGGCAUGGUACACGCCGGGAAGAAGGCAUACAUGGAUAAUCAGAAGCCGAGGCAGGUUGAGAAGGCUGAGAAAGUCAUGCAUCUUAUCUGUUGGGGACCCAAAUAGUUCAUUUCUUAAGUAAGUAGUGCUUACGUUCGAAUCUUGAGAAUAAAGAAUCUUUUCAGAUGAAAGCGGUUUUCUCUUUAGUGAGUUUAUAUAUUACAAUGAAAUCUGAACAAUCGAAUUAAUGACUUCAAUUAUCGAAUGGUUAAUAAAAAAAAAAGAUUGUGUUUAUAACUUUUUCCUUUUUCCCCCCUUUUUGGGGUUUGUUUUGCCCUUUUUUCCUGUCUUAUUAUCAUCUCCUUUUCUUUCUUUUUUUUGUUUGCUUUAGUUAGUAUGGCCUAAUGGGAGAGUCGAAAUUAUUAUGUUAUUUGCUCUCUAGGAGAGUUUGUAAUUAUAUAUUAAAUGUUGUUAAAAAUAUGUUUUGGUGGGAGAUGUUUCGUCUAAAUUUUCCAAAUUGAACCAAUAUGUGAUAUUCUCAGAAAUACAAAAUGGAAAUCAAUCCAGAAUACUAGUAGUAAAUUUCUAACUUCAUUUUAGACGAUUCGACUUGAUUUGAGUUAUUAGUUCUGUGGUUUUACAACUUAAUUAGAUAGAAAACCUUCACCUAAAAAAACAUAAACAUAUAGUUAUGACCGAACACCACCUCAUAAUAAACCUAAGAAAUAAUGAAUUCAGUUGUGAAAUUGAGAAGAAAAGAGGCAAGUGAGGACAAUUUUAUGGGUCGUCGAUAAUCAAAGAGGUAAGGUCUGCGUAUACUCUAUCCUCCCCAGAUUCCACUGAUGAAAUUUUACUAGGUGGUUGUUGUUGUUUUUGUUGAUAAGCAAAAGAGGGCCUUUUAGUGUGUGUGUGUGUAUAUAUAUAGUAGUUUAUAGACAAAUAAAUUAAUUUGAUCCCAUGAUAAUGAAUAAGUUAGACAAACAUAAAAUACUUAGCAUUGAUAUGGAGACAGAACAACAGAAAUCGUAAUAUCGGGAGCAGGGCUUCCGAGGACAAUAAUCACGAUAUAAAUGAGCAAAAAGAUAAAAUUAUAUUGAGCUCUGAACAAAGUGUAGCAUAUGUUUGUAAGAAAAUUCGUGUCAUUUACAAUGAUAAUAUUGCUCAUUAUUAUAGUUGCACCUAGGGAACAAGGUCCUAGGAUCAAGCCCCUCUUUAAUGACAAUUAUGAGGGCUAUUGAAGAAUGUGUAACAGUAGGCAAUGAAUGUCAUAUUCUCUAUAACAGUCCACAUACUUAAUGCUGUAGAAAAUUCUUUAUUAAAUGCUACCGGGUGGCAGACAAUUAUUUCACCUUCAUGAGGAUCAUUUUCUUCGAUAACAGACGAGAUCGUUGCCUUCGGAUCCGACUUCCUUCUAUCUUCGGCUCUAUGUCACUUUCUCAUGUGAUCAUUUAAUAUAAACACAUUUUACCCUAUACAUAUGGCCCCCUUGCUUUUCGAUGGCAUAACUUUGUGUCAACGGGAAGUUGGUAGAAAUACCUUUUUUGGCGGAAAAUUCUCUGGCCCCCGCCGAAAAGUUUCUGACAGCUGAUUAGACCCAUGUCUCUUUGCAUUUAAUGCCCUGAACACGCGUCAUCCCACGAUUCAUCACCACUUUUGUCGGUUAUCGAGGUAAUUAUGGCCACGAUUUUAGCCGCCUAUUCCGUUACUUAUACGUAUCAAACUUCUCCAUUUACACUUCAUAACCUUCCAAACUCUCUCGAACUCUUUUUGUUUAACUUAUACUUGUCCUCAACUUUCCCAAAUCUUCUCUUUUAGUGAAGACCCUUUCCUCUUUUUUGAUAGCAAUGGCCUCUUCUUCCAGAAACCUUAGUUCUUCAAAGAACAAAGGUAAAGUUGAUGACAUUGCUCCUCUUACGGUGAGCACCAUCAUCCCAAAGAGUCUUAUCAAAACGAAGGACUUCAAAGAGAAGUUUCCUACCGUUAAUUCACGCACGUGGGUUGUUGGCAUGUAUCCUUCUUCUAUCCGUCCUUCCAGCAUCCCUGUUGUGAAGGAAAACCGACAUUGCCUUGAUUUGAACAUCAUCGCUCGUGACCUGUCGGAGUCGAUAAUCUUACCCAAGAAAGGUUUUACGUAUUUUUAUAUGUAUCCCUUCACUUUGGGGCCAUUCUCUUUGAACUGGGAGCUUAACUCUGUUAUCACGGAGCUCUGCAUCCGUUAUCAGGUAUACCUGGCGCAGGUAAGUCCUUCUGUGUGGAGGACAAUUGCUUGUCUUAGGCGUCUAUGCCAGGAGACAGGAGAAGAGCUAACCUUGGCUUGAUUAAUGAUCCCCCAAGAUUUUCCGUGGGAGAAUGAUAAAUUUCAGCAAGUGUGGCCACUAUGCUCUGCUAUCCAGCAUGGAUGAUGAUAACGAUCGUGAGUGGAAGGAACGGUUCAUCAUAGUUGCCACAAGCGACAUCAUUCCGGCCACGGCUUCAUCCUUUUCGGAAUUAUGGAACCUAACUCAUAAGUUCAUCAUUUGUCUUUUCUUUCAUUAAAGAUCGCCCCAUAUCGUUAUUGGACCUUCUUCUUUAGCUUAUUUCAGCAACUCGGUGGGUACCACCUAGGGUUGAAGGCUUGGAUCAGUGGGUCCAAAAAAAUUUGAAUGUUACUAUGCUCGAGACCCGCACGUGGAAAAAACUUGCCCUUAAAUAUGGGUGGGAGGCCAAGAAUCAUGGUAAGUUGAACUCAUCUUGUUUUUACUGUAACGACAUGGCCAGUUGUUUUGAGUAUUUUAGCCCCUAUCCCCUAUAUUAUGCUUCCUCUAUGCUAUACUGUAGUUAUGUAACUUGCCUGGGUGGUUGGUUUUGGUUUCGGGUGAGUUUUGGAGUGAAAUGGGAUACAUAGUCCCUAAGUUGGAAGGUUAAGUCGUAGGAGUUGACCGUAGAUUGACUUGUAUGAAGACGACUUCGGAAUGGAGUUUUGACAGUUCCAAUAGCCCCUAUGGUGAUUUUUGUCGUAGAAGCAUGUCCGAAGGGUAAUUUGGAGGUCUGUAGGUUGUUUCGGCGUGAUUUGGCGAAAUUUGAAAAGUUGGAGGAUUUUUGGAAAGUUUGACCAUGAGUUGUCUUUAUUGAUAUCGGGGUCAAAAUCCAAUUUCGAAAGUUGAAAUAUGUCUGCAAUAUCAUUUAUGACUUGUGUGCAAAAUUUGAAGUCAAUCAGAGUUAUUUUGGUAUGAUUCGGCAUCGGUUUUAGAAUUCGGAAGUUCAUAAUUUCUUAGGCUUGAAUUUGGAUUGCGAUUCGUAGAAUUUAUGUUAUUGGAUGUGAUUUUUGUCCUUGAGUAGGCCUGUUAUUUAUUUUGAAACUAUUUGGUAUAUUCGAGCGGGGUCCCGGAGGCCUCGGGUGUGAUUCUGAUCGAAUCCGGAACAAUUUGGACUUAUUGAAUUUUGCUGAAGGUUGGCAGCUUCUGGUGUCUUUGCACUUGCGGAGGGAUUAGCCGCAGAUGCGGGCUUGCAAAAACGAGCACUUGGUCGCAAAUGCGGAGCUAGGCAUGCCCAACUGGGGGCGCAUGAGUGGGAAAUGUUCCACAGAAGCGGCUUCGCUUAUGCAUUGGAGGGGAACGUAGGAGCGACAGUGGUAACAGGUGAGACGCUUGUGCCGCAGGUGCGCAUGCGCAGAUGCGAACCUUUUUCCGCAGAUGCGGAUAUCUUGGACUUAAGUGAAGACCGCACCUGCGAUGGUUUUCCCGCAGGUGCGUAGCCACAGAUGCGGUAGAAAGGUCGCAGGUAAGAUUUAACUGGCAGAAAAAGGGGAAAUUCGAGGCUUAGUUUUCAUAAUUUAUUUUGGGAUUUUGGGAGCUCAGUGGGAAAUGAAAUUUCGAGGAAUUUUCAGUGAGAAUGUUGGGGUAAGAAGAAGCCUUAACUCAAUUUUGGUUAAAUUACUCGAGUCUAUCAUUGUUUUAUCAUGUAAUUAGGGAUUGGAGUUGGAAAAAUUGGGAAAAGGUGGUAGAACUUCUUAGACUAAGUUUUUAGUUUUGAAAAGCGAAUUGAGGUCAGAUUUGAAUAAUUCUUGUGUGAUUGAACUCGAUAUCGAAUGGGUGUUCGAAUUUUAUAAUUUUGGUCGGGUUUCGAGAUGUGGACCGAGUUGACUUUUUGGGUUGAUUUUUCAAUUCUUUGCAAAGAUCGUAAUUUCACUGUUUGAAUUAGUUUCCUAUAGUUAUAAUUUUAGUAUGAAAUUUUGGCUGAAUUCGAGCCGUUCGGAGUUGGAAAAUCGAGGGAAAGGUCUUCUAGUGGAUUGACUUAGCAUGAUUUGAGGUAAGUGGCUUGCCUAACUUUGUGUCGGGGAACUUUCCCUUAGGAUUGGUGUUACUUGUGAUAAUUGUGAUGUGCAAAAGCCGUGUACGAAAGGUGACGAGUGUGUACACGGGCUAAAUAUGAAAAUUAUCGGUUUUUGGCUGUGUAAAUUCCUUUCAUGUCAUAGUUGAGUUGCUUUAACAUGUUAUAGUCUUCAUUUUUAGUCUAAUUCUAUAUGUCUACUUCUCUUAUCCCUUACUGGCUAAUUGCUCUACAUGUUUAGUCAAAAUUCUUGUUUCUUUUAUUCCGUAUUCAUUAUUAACUAUGGAAUUCUUUAUUGAAAUUAUUAUUUCUUGGAAUAUCUUGUCGUUAAAAUUAGUAUUGAGUUGCAAGGGCCGUGAUUCUAUUGAGGCAAAGUGUUAAGUUGUUAAACAUCAUGCUAUUGAGUUAUUCCUCGGGUUGUUAAUUGUUGAGACUUUGUGUACAUUGUGUUUGAGUCGUGGGCUCCUUGUUGUGAAAUUAUGUUAUUGUUUGGUUUCUCUGGCACGUUGUGAUAUUGGGCCCUUGAGGUGUGGUUUAUGAUAAGUUGUGAUAGUGAUACGCAUGUGGUGGUAUAAGGUUUGGGUGUUGAAACACAUGCGGUGAGAUAAGGUGGUCUUGAUACGCAUGGUUAGUAGGAAACUACUAGAAUCCAUGCGGUAUGAUAAGGUGGGCUGAAACGCGGGAUGCUAUUUCGGGAAAAAUAAUUUUCAAAACUAAAUGUAAAGACUCCCGCGGUGAUAUAAGAAAAGAUUUUGAUUUAUUUUGUGAUUUGAGACUACGAGGCGGUACCUCAGUAGUGACUCUUGUUGACAUUUUCCCAUUUUCUUGUCUUGAUCGGUUUUUCCUUAGCAUAUUAUUAAAUGUCUUGCUCUAUGUUGCACUAUUUGCUUAGUUUCGUGUAUCUAAUCUUGUUAUGCUAUUCGUUUGUUUAAUUUUCAUUACUAUCUUAUUAUACUAUCUAUAUUGUUCAGUCUUUUAUUUAUUUUUAGUAGGGCCUGACUUGAUCUCGUCACUUCUCUACCAAGGUUAGUUUUGGCACUUACUAGGUAUCAUUGUGGUGUACUCAUGCUACUCUUCUGCAUAUAUUUUUAUGCAUAUCCAGGUGCUUCCUACUAGCCCAGGCGUUAGUUAGGAUUCUACUGCGAAGACUUCAAGGUAUACUUGCCGGUGUCCGCAGGCCUUGGAGUCCCCCUCUCUCUAGAUCUCUUAUUUCGUCAUCCUUAUUAUAUACUCGUGAUGCAUAUGAUUAUACAAUACUCAUACUUAGAGAUUGUGACUUGUAUUUUCACCGGGCCUCGGGAUUUGUGUAUGAUGUGUUGAAGUGUUGGUAUAUAUAUAUCUAUUGAGUUUGAGAAGUUUAUUUACUAUUAUUUCAAUUAUUUUGCAUGUUGUUAGGCUCACCUAGUUGUUGUCACAGCAUCCUACAGAGGAAAUUCGAGGUCAUGACAAGUUGGUAUUAGAGUUCUAGAUUUAUAGGUGUUAUGAGUCACAAGCAAGUUUAGUAGAGUCUCGCGGAUCGAUACGGAGACGUCUGUACUUAUCUUUGGGAGGCUAUGGAACUGUUAGGAAAAGCUUCACUUCUUUGAUUCCUUAUCAUGCGAAAUUGUUGACUUCGGGAUUCUAAACUUCUGUCUUUCUGUUCUCUCAUAGAUGGUGUGGACACGUAUAAUUGGAUCGGAUUACGAGAUACCCACGUCCCCUAAUAGAGCCUCGAGAGGCCGGGGCCGAGGACGUCCAUGUGGUGCAGCCAGAGCACCUGCACGAGCUGCUACAGAGGAACCACCAGUAGCUCUAGUUGGAGAACAGGCACCUGAGACGUCUGUUACUACCCAGCACUCCAGGAGACUCUCUCCCAAUUUCUGAGCAUGUUCGAUACUUUAGCUCGGGCAGGGUUGAUACCACUUUCUCUUGCCACAUCUCGGGCUGGGGGAGAAGCACAUACUUCCGCCACCCAUACCCUAGAGUAGUGGGCCCAAGUUGACCAGGUCCCAAAGGUCAUACCAAUACAGUUGGUCGUUCCAGUUCGGCCCGAGGUUAGGGCAGCAACUUUUGAGGGGGAGCAGCUCAGGCUCGAGAGGUACAAAAAUUACAACCCUCAUACUUUCAGCGGCUUGGCGUCAGAGGAUGCCUAGUGUUUUCUUGAGGAGUACCACCGUAUCCUCUGUACGAUGGGUAUUGUGGAGUCUAGUGAGGUUGUUUUCACUACAUUCUAGCUUAAGGGAGCAGCUUAUUAUUGGUGGCAAGCAUAUGAGUUGUGUAGUCCGACCGAGGCAGCUUCACUCACUUGGGCUUAAUUUUCAGAUAUGUUCUUGAGGGAGUUUGUUCCCCAGAGUCUUAGAGAUGCAUGGCGCGCAGAGUUUGAGCAGUUGCGCCAGGGUUCUAUGAUCGUAUCGGAGUAUGCGAUCCAGUUCAGUGAUUUGUCUAGGCAUACACCAGCCUUGGUUGCUACUGUUAGAAAACGAGUCCAUCGAUUUAUCGAGGGGCUUAACCCGGAUUCAGAUUUAGCAUGACUCGAGAUUUGGAGAUGAACAUUGCAUACCAGCAGGUAGUGGAGAUCGCUAGGAGGUUAGAGGGUAUGUGGGCCUGGUAAAGAGAGGAGAGGAGGGCCAAGAGGCCUCGAGAUUCUGGCACAUAUAGUGGUGCCUGUGCCCCAGUUGCAGCUCGUCAUGGUAGGGGCUAUGUGAGUCACUUUGUUCAUUCAGUACUUCCAGCUUCCAGCGGUAUUCUGGCCACUCCUAGGCCUCAGGAUCCCUUUUAUGCACCGCCAUUAUCUAGUGCACCUCCUGCACGGGGUGCUUUUAGCAGUCAGUCCAGCUGCUCAGGCUUUAGCCAACCACAACAACCAAGUCCUCUGAGAGCUUGUUUUAAGUAUGGUGACACUCGUCACAUGGUGAGGGAUUGCCCCAGACUCAGGAGGGGUGCACCUCCACAGACCACUCAGGCUCCGCGUAUUCCACCGGGUCCUCAGGACAUGGUGACCGCACCAGUUGCCACUCCAGCUGCAUAGCCAACUAGAGGUGGAGGUCAGGCAGGUAGAGGUUGCCAUAUAAGGAGAGGUCAGGCAAAAUAUUAUGGUCUUCCUGCUAGGACGGAGGCAGUUGCAUCCGACUCACUCAUCAUUGGUAUUGUUCUGGUCUGUCAUAGAGAUGCAUCAGUCUUAUUUGAUCCAAGAUCCAUUUAUUCCUAUGUGUCAUCUUACUUUGCUCUAUAUUUGGGUGUAUCUCGUGAUUCUUUGAGUUCUCUAGUUCAUGUAUCCAUACCCGUGGGAGAUUCUAUUGUUGUUAACCGUGUGUAUUGGUCGUGUUUAGUUGUUCUUGGUGAUUUUAAGACCACAGUCGAUCUAUUAUUGCUCAGUAUGGUAGAUUUUGAUAUUAUUUCGGGCAUGAACUGAUUGUCAUCCUCUUAUGUUAUUCUCGAUUGUCACGCCAAGACCGUGACGCUUGCUAUGCCAGGGUUACAUGGGUAGAGUGGAGAGGUGCUUUAGAUUAUGUUCCUAGUAGGGUUAUCUCAUUUCUAAAGGCUCAGUGUAUGGUUAAGAAGGGGUGUAAUGAUUAUCUAUCUUUCGUGAGAGAUGUCAGUGUUGAUACUUCUACCAUGGAGUCAGUUCCGAUAGUGCAGGAUUAUCCAGAUAUAUUUCCGGUGGAUCUUCUGGACAUGUCGCCCGAUAAGGAUGUUGAUUUUUGUUAUUGAUUUAUUACUAGUCACUUAGCCCAUUUCUAUUCCACCCUAUCGUAUGGCCCCAAUAGAGUUGAAAGAAUUAAAGGAGCAGUUGCAAGAGUUGCUUGAUAAGGGCUUCAUUCAGCCCAGUGUGUCGCCUUGGGGUGCUCCAGUCUUGUUUGUAAAGAAGAAGGACGGUUCUAUGCAUAUGUGUAUUAAUUAUCGCAAGAUGAACAAGGUUACAGUGAAGAAUAUGUAUCCAUUGCCACAUAUUGAUGAACUAUUUGAUCAGCUAGAGGGCGCCAGAGUGUUCUCCAAGAUUGACUUCCGUUCAGGCUAUCAUCACUUGAAGAUUUGGGAGCCAGAUAUACCGAAGACUACCUUCAGGACUCGGUAUGGUCAUUACGAGUUCCCUGUGAUGUCUUUUGGAUUGACCAACGCCUCAGAAACAUUCAUGGAUUUGAUGAACAGUGUAUUUCAGCCCUAUCUUGACUCAUUUGUCAUUGUGUUUAUUGACGAUAUUUUGGUGUACUCCCAAAGUCGGGAGGAUCAUGAGCAGCACUUGAGGACUGUACUCUAGACCUUGAGAGAAAAGAAGUUAUAUGCAAAAUUUUCAAAAUGUGAAUUAUGGCUUUAUUCGGUAGCAUUUUUAGGCCAUGUAGUGUCGAGUGGGGGGAUCAUUGUAGAUCCGAAGAAUAUUGAAGCAAUGUAGAGUUGGCCCAGACCGUCUUCAGCUACGGAGAUCCGGAGUUUUCUUGGUUUGGCGGGGUAUUACCAUCGAUUUGUAGAGGGUUUCUCAUCUAUUUCAUAGCCUAUGACCAAAUUAACCCAGAAGGGUGCUCUAUUCAGGUGGACCGAGGAGUGUGAGGAGAGAUUUUAAAAGCUCAGGACUGUUUUGACUACAGCCCCAGUGUUGGUAUUGCCUACAGGUUCAGGGUCUUAUACUGUGUAUUGUGAUGCAUUACGUAUUGGUCUCGGUGCGGUAUUGAUGCAGGACGGUAGGGUGAUUGCCUACGCAUCUAGAUAGAUGAAGGUGCAUGAGAAGAACUAUCAUGUCCACGACCUUGAGUUACAAGCUAUUGUUCAUGCCUUGAAGAUUUGGCCGCACUAUUUGUACGGUGUUCCUUGUGAGAUCUACACUGACCACCAGAGUCUACAGUAUCUGUUCAAAUAGAAGGAACUUAACUUGCGUCAAAGAAGGUGGUUAAAGUUGCUUAAGGACUAUGAUAUCACCAUUCUGUAUCACCCCAGGAAUGCCAAUGUGGUGGCCGAUGCCUUGAGUCGCAAGGUGGAGAGUUUGUGCAGCUUAGCAUAUCUAUUGGUAGUGGAGAGGCCAUUAGCAUUGGAUGUUCAGGCCUUGGCCAACCAGUUUGUUAGAUUGGAUGUUUCUGAGCCAGGUCAAGUUUUGGCUUGUGUGGUUUCUCGGUCUUCUCUUCAUGAUCGUAUCAGAGAGCGUCAGUAUGACAGCCCCCAUAUGCUUGUCCUUAAGGACACAGUUCAGCAUGACAAUGCUAAGGAGGCCACUAUUGGAGAUGAGGGUGUAUUAGGGAUGUAGGGCAGGCUAUGUAUGCCCAAAGUAGAUGGUUUGAGUGAGUUGAUUCUCCAGGAGGCUCACAGUUCGUGGUACUCCAUUCAUCCAGUUGCCGCGAAGAUGUAUCAGAACUUGAGGCAGCAUUAUUUGGUGGAGGAGAAUGAAGAAGGACAUAGUGGAGUAUGUAGCUCGGUGCCUAAACUGUCAGCAGGUGAAGUAUGAGCAUUAGCGGCCAGGUGGAUUGCUUCAAAAGCUAGAGAUUCUAGAGUGGAAAUAGGAGCGAAUUACUAUAAAUUUUGUUGUUGGGCUCCCAUAGACUCAGAGGAAGUUCGAUGCAGUUUGGGUGACUGUGGAUAGGUUGACCAAGUCAACUCAUUUCAUUCCAAUGGUGACUACUUAUUCUUCUGAGCAGCUAGCCCGAGUUUAUAAUCGCGAGAUUGCCAGGCUUCAUGGAGUGCCGAUAUCCAUCAUCUCUGGCCGGGGUACAUAGUUUACAUCGCGGUUCUGGAAAGUCGUACAACAAGAGUUAGGUGCACGAUUUGAGUUGAGCAUGGCAUUUUACCCGUAGACGGAUGGGAAGUCCGAGUGCACUAUUUAAAUAUUGGAGGAUAUGCUUCGUGCAUGUGUGAUGGAGUUUGGGGUUUCUAGGGAUCAGUUCUUGCCGCUUGCGGACUUUUCCUAAAAUAACAACUACUAGUCAAGCAUUUAGAUGGCUCCAUAUGAGGCUUUGUAUGGUAGACGGUAUCGGUCUUCGGUGGGUUGGUUUGAGCCGGGUGAGACUAGGCUAUUGGGUGCAGACUUGGUUCAGGAUGCUUUGGAAAAGGUUAAAAUUGAUUCAAGAUCGACUUCGUACAAUCCAAUCCAGAUAUAAGAGUUAUGUGAAUCGGAAGGUUCGCGACAUUGAAUUCGUGGUUGUGGAGUGGGUCUUGCUCCAAGUUCGCCCAUGAAGGGUGUUAUGAGGUUCAGGAAGAAGGUCAAGUUGAGCCCUAGGUAUAUUGGGCCAUAUGAGAUACUUGAGAGGAUUAGAGAAGUGGCAUAUAGGCUUGUAUUACCACCUAGUCUAGCUGUAGUUCAUCAAGUAAUCCAUGUUUCUAUGCUCCGGAAGUAUCACGGCGAUCUAUCUCAUGUGUUAGACUUCAGCUCAGUCCAGUUGGACAAGGAAUUGUCUUAUGUUGAGGAGUCGGCGGCCAUUUUGGACAGGAAGGAUCCAAAGUUGAGGUCGAAGAACAAUGCUUUAGCGAAGGUUCAGUGGAGGGGUCAGCUAGUCGAGAAGGUGAAUUGGGAGACGGAGCAUGAUAUAUAUAACCAUUAUCCUUAUCUUUUCACCACUUCAGGUAUGUCUCUAUACUUGUUCGAGUACGAACGUUUGUUUUAAUAGGGGGAGGAUGUAACGACCCGGCCGGUCAUUUUGAGUAUUUUAACCCCGAUCCCCUAAAUUAUGAUUCCUCUAUAUUAUAUUGUGGUCAUGUAACUUUUCGAGGUGAUUGGUUUUGGUUUCGGGUGAGUUUCAAAGUGAAAUGGGGCACAUAGUCCCUAAGUUGGAAGGUUAAGUCGUAGGAGUUGACCAUAGUUUGCCUUGUGUGAAUACGACUCCAUAAUGGAGUUUUGACGGUUCUAAUAACUCCGUAUGGUGAUUUUGGUUAGGAGUGUGUACGAAUGUUGAUUUGGAGGUCUGUAGGUCGUUUCGGCGUGAUUUGGCAAAAGUUGGAAAGUUGGAGGAUUUUGGAAAGUUUGACCGGGAGUUGAGUUUAUUGAUAUCGGAGUCGGAAUUUGAUUCCGGAUGUUGGAAUAGGUCCGUAAUAUCAUUUAUGACUUGUGUGCGAAAUUUCAAGUCAAUCAAAGUUGUUUUGGUAUGAUUCGACAUCGGUUUCGGAAUUUAGAAGUUCAUAAUUUCUUAGGCUUGAAUUUGAGUUGCAAUUCGUAGAAUUUAGGUCAUUGGAUGUGAUUUUUGACCUCGAGAAGGUCCAUUAUGUAUCUAAGAACUAGUUGGUAUAUUCGGACGGGGUCCCAGAGGCCCGGGUGUGAUUUGGAUCGAAUCCGGAAUAAAUUGGAUUUGUUGAAUUUUGCUGAAGGUUGGCAACUUCUGGUGUCUUCGCACCUGCGAAGAGAUUGGCUGCAGGUGCAGGCUCAUAAAAAUGAGCACUUGGUCGCAGAUGUGGAGCUGGGCAUGCCCAGCUAGGGGCGCAGGAGCAGAAAAUGUUCCGCAGAAGCAGCUUCGCUUCUGCAAUAGUGGGGAACGCAGGAGCGACAAUGGUCGCAGGUGCGACGCUUGUGCUGCAGGUGCGCAUGCGCAGAUGUGAGCCCUUUUCCGCAGAAGCGAAUUCCUUGGACUUAAGUGAAGUCCGUACCUGCGAUGAGUUUUCCGCAGGUGCGCAGCCGCAGAUGCGGCAGAAAGGUCACAAGUGCGAUUUAACCGGCAGAAAAAUGGGAAAUUUGAGGGUUAGUAUUCAUAAUUCAUUUUGGGAUUUUGGGAGCUCGGUGGGAGACGAAAUUUCGAGGGAUUUUCAGAAAGAACAUUAGGGUAAGAAUUGUUAAUUCGAUUUUGGUUAAAUUACUCGAGUUUAUCAUUGUUUUAUCAUGUAAUUAGGGAUUGGAGUUGGAAAAAUUGGGAAAAAGUGGUAGAACUUCUUAGACUAAGUUUUUGAGUUUUGAAAGACGAAUUGAGGCCGGAUUUGAAUAAUUCUUGUAUGGUUGGACUCGAUAUCAACUUGGUGUUCGAAUUUUAUAAUAUUGGUCGGGUUCCGAGAUGCGGGCCCAAGUUGAUGUUAUGGGUCGGUUUUUCAAUUCUUUGCAAAUAUCAUAAUUUCAUUGUUUGAAUUAGUUUUCUAUAGUUAUAUUUAUAAUAUGAAAUUAUUUUGUAUUGAUUCAAGCCGUUCGGAGUUGGAAUAUCGAGAAAAAUGCCUUCUAGUGAAUUUAUUUAGCAUGAUUUGACGUAAAUGGUUUGUCUAACUUUGUGUGGGGGAGAUACCCCUUAGGAUUGAUGUUACUUGUGAUAAUUGUGAUGUGUAAGAGCCGUGUAUGCAAGAUGACGAGUGUGUACACAAACUAAAUGUGGAAAUUACCAGUUUUUAGCUAUGUAAAUUUCUUUCAUGUGUUAAUUGAGUUACUUUAACAUGUUAUAGUCUUCAUUUUUAGUCUAAUUUCACAUGUCUACUUGUCUUAUCUCUUACUUGUAAUUUCUCUACAUGUUUAGUCGAAAUUUUUGUUUCUUUUAUUCCGUAUUCAUUAUUUAACUAUGAAAUUCUUUAUUGAAAUUAUUAUUUCUUGGAAUAUCUUGUUGUUGAAAUUGGUAUUGAGUUGCAAGGGCUAUGAUUCUAUUUAGGCAAAGUGUUAAGUUGUUUAAUAUCAUGCUAUUGAGUUAUUCUUCAGGUUGUUACGUGGGCUCCUUGUUGUGAAAUUCUGUUAUUGUUUGGUUUCUUGCACAUUGUGAUACUGGGCACUUGAAGUGCGAUUUGUGAUAAGUUGGGAUAUUGAUAUGCAUGCGGUGGUAUAAGGUUUGGGUGUUGAAACGCAUGCGGCAAGAUAAGGUGUGCUUGAUACACUCACUACAACAAAAAAGCUUUUUAGCGACAAUAGAUAUGCAUUUUAGCAGCAAUUGUUAUUGUCGUAAAAACUUUUAGCGGCAAUUGAUCAUUAACCGUUGUAUCCAGCGUCGCUAAAGGUUUUAGCGGAAAAUAGACUGAGUGCUGGUAAAUGUCCCAUUUAUUGCCGCUAAAAGAUCUGACAUUUAGUGGCAUUUAUAUACUAGCAAUUACAAGAGCCACUAUAAUUAUCCCAUAACCUAAGUUGCUCGGACUCGGGUGUGGGUAUUCGAUACGGGGACGAAUCCUAGUAUCGAAUUCGGCAAAAUCUAAAUUUUAUAAUUCGGGAGUGCGGAUCCAGAUAUGGAUACGGGUGCGGGAUUCGGCUAAUAAAAAAUAGAGCUAUAAAAAUAUUAUAAAUUUUGAGGGAUUUUCUGUGAAAAACUUACAUAAAUAUUGCACAAUUCAAUCUUUCAUUUCCCAAGAUGGACAUUAUUCUUUCAUUGUUCUAAAUCUGUUUUAUUUUUGAUUUUGAGAACUCAAAAUCUCAGUUUUUCUACCAAAGUUGUCGAUGGACUCCGGUCAAAGUGUCCGAAGUCAGUUGACUAUAUCCAGGACGUAUCCAGUCCUCGUAUUCGUAUCUAUCCCGUAUCAGGAUGGGAACAGCACCAAAAUCGAAGAGUCCGCGCAACUUAGUCCAUAACUAGCCUUCUAUUUGGUCUUAGCAGCAUCUGUUAUGGUCGGUAAAUAUUAAUUUUUUUGCCGUUAAAGAAAAUCUUUUAAUGACCUUUCUUAUUGCCGGUAAAACUAUGCAUAAAUUGUCAAAUGCUAAUCGUCGGGAAACUAUAAGCCUUUUCGACAUAAAGGUAAUAACAAAAACUGCACAUAUAUAAUAACAUAAAUGUAUAUAAUAAAAUAUGCAAAUAUUUAUUCUAGGAAGAAUAAGGUGUUUCACUAAAUUCAUAAUAUACAGAGAUAAUUACAAGUUCAUACUUUAGAGUUUCAGCAAAAAAAAAUAAAAAAAUACACCAUUUGAAUCCAACAAUAGUUUUUUCUCCUCCUGACAAAUCUAGUUCUUUCUGUGUCAAUUUCUGCGUCCAAGGAUAUCAUAAUUAGAUGAGUUAGAACAAAGCAUCUUCAUUGACUGUAGAAAGUCAGUUCUUGUUGACUCCAGCAAGUUUCAUCCAUUGGAUACUAGUUCUGCAGCCAUGUAAUUUGUGGAUUGUAGAUUUAAAUUGAACUGCAGAACAAAAGUUUUUUUUUUGUCAAAAUAAACUUUUUUAUUCAACCAAGUAAAGAUUUAUACACAGCUAACUCUUUUGGACCCAAGAGUUAGUUCUCUAGGAAAAUUAAAACUACGCUAUAAUCUAUCUAUGCUGGGUAAUAAUUUAACCUAUCUAGUAUACUCUUCCAUUUUGCAAUUGCUCUGUCCUUUAAUAUGUAACUGUAUUACAAUUUCCUUCACUCUCUGUCUAGCCUCUUGCUUCCUUUGUUGAAAUCUUCUUGCAUUUCUCUCUGCCCAGACAUGAUAGACAGUUGUUGCAAAGAGAAAUCAUAGAAUAUGAGUCCUUGGUCGAUUGUUCCUUUUAAUUCUGCAGCCAUGUAAUUUGUGGAUUAUAGAUUUAAAUUAAAACUGCAGAAUAAAGUUGCAUAAAACUUAGGCAUAUACUCAUGAAAUGGGAUUAGUUUAUCUAUAGUUGUAAUGUAAAAAAUGAAGGAUAAAAUGAACCUUGAUUCUUUAGUCAAAUUCUCAUUUCUAGCUCUUUGCUCACAUGCUAGUUCCUAACUUCCUGUUAGUAAGUAAAACACACAUUCAGACAAGUAAACUUGGAUUUGGUUUUUGGAAAAUACUAGACAAACAUAUAAAACCAUUUGAAACCUUUCCAGUUCAAAUGUACCCUUCUCCUCAGUAAUAAGUUUUUUUUCUCCUCAAGUUCAGUGAAUUUCUACUAAAAAUGGCUGUAAAUCUUUUGUUCUUGCAAGUUUGCUUGUAGAGUUGCAACGCAGAAUACUUACUGCUAGUUGUGAAAGCAAUAUUUUCACCUACUUAACCAUGCUCGAUCCAACUACAAGUAUAAAUGAAAAAGAUGAAUGUUUGAACAUCUUAUUAAUACAAUAGAAUUCACAUUUGUCUUUAAUGGUGAAAAAUAAGCUUAGCUACUUAUGGAGAUCACAAAUAUUAAAAGUUCAUUUAAUUCUUGCCAUAUACAUUAGAUGCAGUUCUACUUUUCAUCUGUAGAUCACCUCCCCAGCUCGUCUAAUUUUAAGAACCAUCAAUACUCCAUUUCUUAUUCUAAUAAACUUGAAUUAGAUAUUUCUAAUCAAAAAAUGCCGGAGCAAUAAAUUUAUGUAAUUUAAGUCAAAACUAGAUAAUACAUUGGCCCUAGAAGAACAGAGAAUACAUAUCCAAUAUUCUUCAUUUUUUUACUAAACAUGUUAUUUUAGAAUCUUUAAACUAGUUUAAAUAUCCUCCACAUAAUAUCUUCAUUUUCAAAUAAAACAUUGAUAACGAGUAACAUCACAACUUAGAAGCCUCAUUAGCUCAGAAAUACUUCUAUUGUUCUUCGAAGUUUAACAUUUGAAACGACUCUAAUUUAACCCAUGAUGAAAAACAUUAAAGAUUUUCAACCUACGAAUGUCUAAAAUUGAUUUAUCAUCUUUUAACAAUUGAAAAUACUACUUGUAAAAUACCAUAUAUAAGUCAUUAUUGUCCAAGCGACAAUAUUUCUAUAUGACAUUUUAUCAAACACUUCAUAGGCUUCUUAAGUUAGUUCUAUAGGAGCAAACACCAAAAGUAAUAUUGUCUAAACAAAUGAAUUCAAAUCAAACUAGAUCACUAGCAAUUCAGUAAAAACAAACGAAUAAGAAAUAAACUCAUACUCCUCUUAUUACAAAAUGAGCAUCAAACAAAUGCCAAACUAAAAAAACCAAAACCAAAUUAUAAACAAUUAUUUACUGUACUUAGCUACCUACCUUCUCCGAUGGGGAAAAAAAUCCAUAAUAUACCUGCAGUAUUCUAACACUCGUACAUGAACUAACCCAUGAGCCAAAAUAAAUCUUCUGCUAGCAUUGAUAGCCUCAUAAUCCCAAGUUUUAUUCAUGCCAAAAUGGAAUAAAGAAAAAUAAUCAACAAUUACCAAAUCUUAUAAGAAUGUGAAUAGCAAAUGACAAAAAAAUAUUGAUUGUGAAAGUACCAUAGAGGUAGCCGGCAGUGACGAAGAUGUAGGUGGUAAGGCAAAGAGUUCUGAUCUACAACCGGUUAUUCGAGAUUUGCCAAUGUUAUAAUGUUUGUGUUCAUCCUUUUCUUCCCCUUUGGUUGUAGUCUGUAGAUAUGGGCUAACGAGAUUCUGAAAUAAUUUUGAUGGACGAAAAUAAGAGAAAUAAGAACAGUAAAUAAAAAACAAGCCAAGGGCGGGAGGAUUAAAAGAAGAGAGGGAAAUGAAAAAGUAUAGGGUUUCCUCUGGAGGGAAGGUUAAAAAUAAAAUAUAGGCUCUUUAGUGACUAAUUCGUUUAAUUGCCAGUAAAAUGAAACUUUUUACCGGCUAAUAUAUAUUUACCCUAACAUUCUAGUUUAGGAAUUAAAUUAGUUGCAAUUAUCUUACUGUCACUAAUUAAUUACUGCUAAAUAAUUUUUUUGUGGUAGUGCACGUGGAUAGUAGGGGAACUACUAGAAACCAUGUGGUGUGAUAAGGUGGGCUAAAACACACGAUGCUAUUUCGGGAAAAAUAAUUUUCAAAACUAAAUGUAAAGGCUCACGCUAUGAUAUAAGAAAAGAUUUUGAUUUAUUUUGUGAUUUGAGACUACGAGGCGGUACCUCGGUAGUGACUCUUGUUGACAUUUCCUCAUUCCUUUGUACUUGUCUUGAUCGUUGUUUCCUUAGCAUAUUAUUAAUGUCUUGCUCUGUGUUGUAAUAUUUGCUUAGUUCUGUGUAGCUAAUGUUGUUAUGUUAUUCAUUGUUUAAUUUUCAUUACUGUGUUAUUGCACUGUCUACAUUGUUCAGUCUUUUAUUUAUUUUCAGUAGGGUCCUAACUUGGCCUCGUCACUACUCUACCAAGGUUAGACUUGACACUUACUGGGUACCGUUGUGAUGUACUCAUGCUAUUAUUCUGCAUAUAUUUUUGUGUUGAUCCAGGUGCUUCCUACCAGCUCAGGCGUUAGUUGGGAUUCUAUUGCGGAGACUUCAAGGUAUACAUGUCGGCGUUCGCAGGUCUUAGAGUCCUCCUCUCUGUAGGUCUCUUAUUUUGUCAUCCUUAUUAUAUAGUCAUGAUAUAUAGAAUUAUAUAGUACUCAUAUUUAGAACUUAUGACUUGUAUUUUCAUCGGGUCUCGGGAUUUGUGUAUGCUGAGUUGAAGCGUUGUUUUAUAUAUAGUUGUUGAGUUUGAGAGGAUUAUUUACUAUUAUUUCAAUUAUUUUGCAUGCUGUUAGGCUUACCUAGUCUGAGAGACUAGGUGCCGUCACGACAUCCUACGAAUGAAAUUUGGGGUCGUGACAUUUACCUUUCGUAUAAGGAAGUUGAUUACCGUUUCUCUCUUGUUGAAUUCAGGUCUACCCCAGGGAUUAGUUGUCGUCCUUGAGGAGGACAUUUUGAAUAAUCAUGCUGACGUGGCGAGGCUGAAGGAGGAUUUUACCCGAACAUGUGUCUCUGAGCCUGCUUCUAGUGCAAGUGCUUUUUCUCGGAGUCCUCGGCCGGAGAACAAUCGACCAAAAAGAAGACGUUCUUCCGCGGCCGGGGAAAAAAUAAAAAGGCAAAGAGUGCCUCAUCUGAGUCGUCCAUAGACACCAUAGUGAUCGACAAUGAUGGAGAAGCCAACGAGGAUGAGGAUUCUCUACAUAGAAGAUGACGACCUUCCUCGGCUCAACAUGCUCAACCUGUUGAGUUAGUUACCCCAAUCGAGGAUGAUGCCUCGGCACUCUGGGGAGUAUUAUAUGGUGAAAAAUGCCAACUCCCGUUUUCGAAUCCUAAUCGUUGUGCCUGGUACCGCGAGGCUAGUACCGGGUCCCUACCGUCUUCAGUUGAUGAGAAUCCAACAAUCAGCAUUGCAUUUACCACAGCUGCUUCGCCAUCAGCUUUAUCUCCUUCUUCUCCAACUCUGCCUUCGCCACCAACAACUACUACAUCAUCUCCACCUGUAACGAUCCGGCCGGUCGUUUCAUGAAUUACCGCUCCAUUUCCCCCUUUUUUACUUCUUUAUGCUUGUUUCGUCUGUGUUAUAUGGUAUCGGGUUGGUCGGUUCAAAUUCGGAAUGAUUUUGGAAAGGUUUGAGACACUUAGUCUCUUUUGAGUAAGCUUAAGUUGGAAAAGUCAAUCAGAUGUUGACUUAUGUGAAAAAGGUCUCAAAUGUGAAUUUUGAUGGUUCGGAUAGCUUCAUGAGGUGAUUUGGGACUUAUGAGCGUGAUCGGAAUGUGUUUUGGAGGUCCAUAGCAGAUUUAGGCUUGAAUUGGCGAAAUUGGAAUUUUGGCAUUUUUCCGGUUGGUAAUGAAGAUUUUGAUAUAGGGGUCAGAACGUGAUUCCGGAAGUUGGAGUAGGUUCGUUGUGUCAUUUGUGACGUGUGCGCUAAAUUUCAGGUCAUUCAGAUGAGGUUUGAUAGACUUUUUGAUCAAAAGCGAAAUUUGGACGUUUUUGGAAACCUUAGGCUUGAAUCCGAUGUUAUUUUUUGAUUUGACGUUGUUUUAGGUGUUUCGAAGAUUGGUAUAAGUUUGGAUUGUGGUAUAUGACUUGUCCGUACUUUUGGUUGAGGUCCUAGGGAUGAUUUCGGGUGGUUGACGGGAAGUUUGGAGUUGGAAAUUUGCUGCUGAAGUUCCUGCCAUAACCGCACCUGCGACUUGGAGACCGCAGGUGCGGGCCCGUAAAAGCACAAGGAGGGUCGCAAAUGCGGCCAAGGUCGAGGAAGAUUGGAACCGUAGAUGCGGUGGUUCGAGCGCACCUGCGGCAGAUGCAGCUAAGGUCGUGGAGGUAAGGUUUUUGGACCCUAAACUUGUUUCUAUGAUGGUUUUAACUGUUUAAGCUUGAAAUCUAUGGAAAUUAGUAGCAAAAUUGGGGGUCUAGGGCUUGGAAAUUGGAGACCUUAACCUAGGGAUUUGAGGGGUCAAUUGUGGUCGGAUUUUGGUAUAUUUGCUACGCAUGGACUCGUGCGAGUGUAAGGAUUCCAGUUUUGUGAAUUUUAUCGGGAUCCGAGACGUGGGCCCGGGGGUCGGGUUUAGCCAAUUUCGAGAUUUUCUUUGGUGUUAAUUGGUUAUUUUGGAGUGGGAUUAUUCCCUUAGCAUAUUUUAAUGGUAUAAAUAUGUUUUUGGUUAGAUUUGGAGCAUUCGGAGGCCGAGUCGAGAGGCAAAGGCAUCGCGGGCUAGAAUUUGAACUUGAUAGAGGUAAGUAAUGAUUGUAAAUGCUGUCCUGAGGUUACGAAACCCCGGAUUUCACAUUGUUGUGCUACUUUGAGGUGAUGCACAUGCUAGAUGAUGAGCGUGGGGUCGUGCACCGUUAGGGAUUGUGACUUAGUCUGUCCCAUAUGAUUGUUAAGUCACGUAUUUGAUUAAAACUUAUUUGAUAUCAUCGUGUUUAGGAAAGUAUUAUUAUAUUUUGGGCUGAAUGCCAUAUUUGGGCCUCGUGCCAAUUGUUUUGGACCCUUAAGAGAUUUUUACUAAUAUUCCUCACUGUUUUGAUUUCAUAAAUUUUACUCAGUCAUGUUGUAUUCUACUAUUUUCAUAAACUCAGCCGUAUUUACUCCGUUUUGAUAUUCUAAAUGAUAUUUUGGGAUGAGCUUCAUGUUUUACUGUUUCUUGAGUGGCUUGAAAGGAUUCUGACUGAGUGAGGCCGGGGGCUUGAGUUGUGAGGAUUAUUAUAGGAUCGGGUUGUGCGCCGCAGCAUGUGUACUGGAUUAUGAUACAUGAGAGCCGAGGGCCUGAUUUGUUAUGCCACGAAAUGGCUUGUGAUAGCGCUUGGGCUGUAGGAGCCCCUCAAGGAGUCUGCACAGCCUCAGUGAGCGCAUGCACCCAGUGUGAGAUGUGAUAUUGCUUGAAGGGCUGUUGUUGUUUCAUGUUAUUGCCCGAGGGGCUGAUACGAGUGAUUGUGAGAUGGCCCGAAAGGCUGGUUCUGUUGAUAUUUUGCCCGAGGGGCAGUUGUGGUAUAUGUUUUGCCCGAGGGGUUGUUAACAUUUCUAUUCUUUUCUCACAGUUUUCAUCACUCGCUUGAAACUAUUGAAAGUUGUUUUAAAAAAAGGUUUUACUGAACUGAGAUGUUUUUACGAGUGUUAUUGCUUUACUUGCAUUGUUUUGGACUUAUAUUGUUUUGUUGUAGCGUCAUGCUGUGGUUUACGUGUUUUCUUACUACUCAACUGUCUUUACUUUUAUUACUUACUGAUUUGGCGUACUCACAUUACUCCAUGCACCCUGUGUGCAGAUCCAGGAGUCUCGGGUCACGAUAGCGAGUGCUGAUUUGGCUUCCAACAGGCUUUCGGAGUUGACUAGGUAGCUGCUUAGCAUUCGCAGCCCAGUGCUUCUCCUUCCUAUCUUUAUUCAGCUUUAUAUUAGCUUUGUUUCAGACUAUGUUGUCUUUUCAUAUUCCUAGACGAGUUGUAGUUGCUCAUGAUUGGUGACAUCCCGAUGUCGGGCCGUGUUUUAUCUCUGCACUGUUCUAUUCUAUCUUACAUUUUGGGAUUUUAGCUUAUUAAUGACUUUAAAUGACUUAUUAUAAUUGUUUGGUUGGUUUUGGGGUUUGUGUCAGUUGGCAUAUUUUCACGAUAUGCGUCAUCACGAUCGGCUCCGUUUUAGGGUCGUGACAAGUUGGUAUCAGAGCCUAAGUUACAUAGGUCUCACGAGUCAUGAACAGGUUUAGUAGAGUCUUACGGAUCGGUACGGAGACGUCUGUACUUAUCCUUGGGAGGCUGCAGAACCUUUUAGGAAAAACUUCAUACUCUUUAAUUCCUGUCGUGCGAAUCUGUUGAUUCUAGUACUAAACUUCUUUUAUUCUACUGAUAUUGAGGACACGUGCUACCGGUCAGGAUGGACGCCCACCAGUACCACUAGUUGUGGCCACUAUAGACCGAAGAUGCGAUAUAGGCCAUGGUAGGGGUAGGGGUGUAGUCCACACAGCAGCUAGGGCAGCACUUGCAGAUCCACCAGCCACCCCAGUUCAUAAUCAGGUCCCAGUUGUGGACACUCCAACAACACCAGCUUACGCACCAGGUGUGCUUAUUGUAAUUCCAAGCCUUCAGGAAGCCCUGGCCCAUAUUCUAUCAGGUGCUACUUUUAAGGAGGUUGUUGAUAUUGCUUGUAAGAUUGAGUCAGUUCGUAGCCAAGAGCGGGAUGAGAGGAAGGCCAAGAGGCCUCGGGGAUCUGGUAGUUUCGGUGGUGCUCCUUCGAGAGGUCACUUUUAGCACGGCAGAGUCCACCUAUUCAGGCAUGCUCAGUCAGCCCGUCCAGGUUAUCGUAGGGCAUCAUUGGAGCNNNNNNNNNNNNNNNNNNNNNNNNNNNNNNNNNNNNNNNNNNNNNNNNNNNNNNNNNNNNNNNNNNNNNNNNNNNNNNNNNNNNNNNNNNNNNNNNNNNNNNNNNNNNNNNNNNNNNNNNNNNNNNNNNNNNNNNNNNNNNNNNNNNNNNNNNNNNNNNNNNNNNNNNNNNNNNNNNNNNNNNNNNNNNNNNNNNNNNNNNNNNNNNNNNNNNNNNNNNNNNNNNNNNNNNNNNNNNNNNNNNNNNNNNNNNNNNNNNNNNNNNNNNNNNNNNNNNNNNNNNNNNNNNNNNNNNNNNNNNNNNNNNNNNNNNNNNNNNNNNNNNNNNNNNNNNNNNNNNNNNNNNNNNNNNNNNNNNNNNNNNNNNNNNNNNNNNNNNNNNNNNNNNNNNNNNNNNNNNNNNNNNNNNNNNNNNNNNNNNNNNNNNNNNNNNNNNNNNNNNNNNNNNNNNNNNNNNNNNNNNNNNNNNNNNNNNNNNNNNNNNNNNNNNNNNNNNNNNNNNNNNNNNNNNNNNNNNNNNNNNNNNNNNNNNNNNNNNNNNNNNNNNNNNNNNNNNNNNNNNNNNNNNNNNNNNNNNNNNNNNNNNNNNNNNNNNNNNNNNNNNNNNNNNNNNNNNNNNNNNNNNNNNNNNNNNNNNNNNNNNNNNNNNNNNNNNNNNNNNNNNNNNNNNNNNNNNNNNNNNNNNNNNNNNNNNNNNNNNNNNNNNNNNNNNNNNNNNNNNNNNNNNNNNNNNNNNNNNNNNNNNNNNNNNNNNNNNNNNNNNNNNNNNNNNNNNNNNNNNNNNNNNNNNNNNNNNNNNNNNNNNNNNNNNNNNNNNNNNNNNNNAAGGCCAAGAGGCCUCGGGGAUCUGGUAGUUUCGGUGGUGCUCCUUCGAGAGGUCACUUUUAGCACGGCAGAGUCCACCUAUUCAGGCAUGCUCAGUCAGCCCGUCCAGGUUAUCGUAGGGCAUCAUUGGAGCAUGGUUCUCACAGUUCUCAUCAGGGUCAUUCAUCACUUAGUGCCCUUCUAGCCCAGAGUUCGUCUCGUGCUCCAUCAGUUUAGGGCUCUUCUAUGCCAGGGGCAUUUGCUAGUCACUCUGGUGCUAGGUGUUCCCUUCAGUCCCCGUCUCUAGCAGCAGGGAGUUGUUAUGAGUGUGGAGAGUUGGGAUACAUGUGGAGGCAGUGUCCUCGUCGUCUUGGAGGUUCAUCCCAGCAGAAGAGUCAACCAUCAACUUCAACACCAGUUACUUCACCACCUACCCACCCAGCUAGGGGUGAAGGACAGUCAGCUAGGGGUCGCCCCAGAGGGGGAGGUUGAUUAGGUAGUGGUCAGGCCCCUUUUUACGCACUCAUCGCUAGACCUGAUGUUAUUGCUUCAAAUGUUGUGAUUACAGGUAUUGUCUCAGUCUGCCACAGAUAUGCCUCUGUAUUAUUUGAUCCCGGUUCCACUUUUCCAUAUGUGUCAUAUUAUUUUGCUCGUUAUUUGGAUACGCUCUGUGAGUCUCUUGUUUUAUCUGUUCGUGUAACUACGCUGGUAGGUGAUACUAUUAUUGUGGACCGUGUGUACCGAUCGUGUGUGGUGACUAUUGGUGGUUUGGAGACCUGAGUAGACCUUUUGUUGUUGUGUUUGGUGGACUUUGAUGUGAUAUUAAGCAUGGAUUGGCUAUAUUCGUGUCGUGCUAUAUUGGACUGUCAUGCUAAGAUAGUAACGUUGGCUAUGUCGGGUGUGCCACGGAUUGAGUGGCGAGGUUCGACUGAUUUUGUUCCCAGUAGGGUCAUUUCAUUUCUGAAGGCCCAGCGGAUGGUUAGGAAAGGUUGUCUUUCAUACUUAGACUUUGUGAGGGAUGUCAGUGUAGAGACUCCCAGUAUUGAUUCUGUUCCUAUAGUGAGGGAUUUUCCCGAUGUGUUUCCUGUAGACCUGUAGGGCAUGCCCCCAGAUAGGGAUAUUGAUUUUGGUAUUGACCUGGUGCCGAGCACUUAGCCCAUUUCUAUUUCAUCGUAUCGUAUGGCACUAGUAGAGUUGAAGGAGCAGCUUCAAGAACUCCUUGAUAAGGGGUUCAUUCGGCCUAGUGUGUCGCCAUGGGGUGCGCCUGUUCUAUUUGUGAAGAAAAAGGAUGGCACGAUGAGGAUGUGCAUUAAUUACAGGCAGCCGAACAAAGUAACAAUCAAGAACAAUUAUCCUUUACCUCGUAUCGAUGAUUUAUUUGACCAGCUUUAGGGAGAGAGAGUGUUCUCCAAGAUUGAUCUUCGUUCAGGUUAUCACCAGUUGAAGAUUAGGGACUCAAAAAUUCUUAAGAUAGCUUUCAGGACCCGAUAUGGUCAUUAUGAGUUCCUGGUGAUGUCUUUUGUGGGCUGACCAAUACCCUAAUAUCGUUCAUGCAUUUGAUGAACAACGUGUUUCGGCUUUAUCUCGACUCGUUCGUGAUUGUUUCAUUGAUGAUAUUUUGGUGUACUCGCGUAGUCACGAGGAGCAUGCGGAGCAUUUGAGAGUUGUGUUGCAGAGAUUGAGGGAGGAGAAACUUUAUGCACAGUUCUCCAAGUGUGAGUUUUGGCUCAGUUCAUUGGCAUUCUUGGGACAUGUGGUGUCUAGUAAGGGUAUUCAGGUUGAUCCAAAGAAGAUAGAGGCGGUUCAGAGUUGGCCCAGACCGUCCUCAGCCAUAGAGAUUCGCAGCUUCCUCAAUUUGGCAGGUUACUACCGUCGGUUCAUUCAGAGAUUUUCAUCUAUAGCAUCACCCUUGACCAAGUUGACUCAGAAGGGUACUCCAUUCUAGUGAUCGGAUGAGUGUGAGGCAAGCUUUCAGAAACUUAAGACUGCCUUGACCACAACUCCAGUGUUAGUUUUGCUAUCAGCUUCAGGUUCAUAUACCGUGUAUUAUGAUGCUUCGAGAGUUGGUAUUGGGUGUGUGUUAAUGUAGGAGGGUAGAGUUAUUGCUUAUGCUUCUCGUCAGUUGAAGCCCUAUGAGAAGAACUACCAUGUUCAUGAUUUGGAGUUGGCUGCCAUUGUUCACGCAUUGAAGAUUUGGAGGCAUUAUCUUUAUGGUGUAUCUUGUGAGGUGUUUACUGAUCAUCAUAGCCUCCAGCACUUGUUCAAACAGAAGGAUCUCAAUUUGAGGCAGCAGAGAUGGUUGGAGCCGCUAAAGGAUUAUAAUAUUAUUAUCUUGUACUAUCCGGGGAAGGCCAAUGUAGUGGCUGAUACUUUGAGUAGGAAGGCGGUGAGUAUGGGGAGUUUGGAGUAUACUUCUGUUUGGGAGAGAUCUUUUGUAGUUGAUGUUUAGGCCUUGGCCAAUUUCGUGAGGUUGGAUAUUUUGGAGCCCAGUCGGGUAUUGGCUUGCGUGAUUUCUCAGUCUUCCUUAUUUGAUCGCAUCAGAGAGCGUCAGUAUGGUGAUCCUCAUUUGCUUGUCCUUAAAGACAAAGUUCAGCACGACGAUGCCAGAGAUGUGACUAUUGGUGAUGAUAGGGUAUUGAGGAUGCAGGGCCGGAUAUGCGUGCCAAAUGUAGAUGGGCUUUGGGAGUUGAUUUUGGAGGAGGCCCAUAGCUCACGGUAUUCCAUUCAUCCGGGUGCCGCAAGAUGUAUCAGGAUCUGAGGCAGCAUUAUUAGUGGAGGAGCAUUAAGAAGGACAUUGUGUGAUUUGUAGCUCGGUGUCUCAAUUGUCAGUAGGUGAAAUAUGAGCAUCAGAGACCGGGUGACUUGCUUCAGCAGAUGGAUAUUCCAGAGUGGAAGUGGGAGCGGAUCACCAUGGACUUCGUAGUUGGGCUCCACGGACUUUGAAGAAGUUCGAUGCUAUUUGAGUGAUUGUGGAUCGACUGACCAAGUCCACGCACUUCAUUCCUGUGUGUACUACCUAUUCUUCAGAGCGGUUGGCAGAUAUCUAUAUCCGAGAGAUUGUUCGUUGGCAUGGUGUCCCAGUUUCCAUCAUAUCAGAUGGGGGUACUCAGUUUACUUUGCAGUUUUGGAGAGUCGUGUAUAGAGAGUUGGGUACUCAGGUUGAGUUGAGCACAACUUUUCACCCUCAGAAGGACGGGCAGUCCGAGCGCACUAUUCAGAUAUUGGAGGACAUGUUACGCGCUUGUGUCAUUGAUUUUGGAGGGUCAUGUGAUUAGUUUCUACCGCUCGCGGAGUUUGCCUAUAACAAUAGUUAUCAGUCGAGUAUUCAGAUGGCUCCAUAUGAGGCUUUAUAUGGGAGGCGGUGCAGAUCUCCAGUUGGUUGGUUUGAGCCCGGCGAGGCUAGGCUUUUGGGUACAGACUUGGUGCAAGAUGCUUUGGACAAGGUGAAGGUGAUUCAGGAGCGGCUUCAUACAACACAGUCGAGACAAAAGAGUUAUGAUGUCAAAAAGGUUUGGGAUGUGUCCUACAUGGUUGGGGAGAAGGUUCUACUGAAGGUUUCACCCAUGAAGGGUAUUAUGAGAUUUGGGAAGAAGGGUAAAUUGAGCCCUCGGUUCAUUGAGCUUUUUGAGGUGCUUCGGAGGAUUGGGAGGUGGCUUAUAAACUUGCUUUGCCACCCAGAUUGUCGAGUGUGCAUCCGAUAUUUCAUGUUUCUAUGCUCCAGAAUUAUAUUGGAGAUCCAUCUCAUGUUUUGGAUUUCAUCACGGUUCAGUUAGAUGGUGAUCUGACCUAUGAUAUAGAGCCAGUAACUAUUUUGGAGCGUUAGGUUUGAAAGUUGAGAUCAAAGGAUAUAACUUCAGUGAAAGUGCAGUGGAGANNNNNNNNNNNNNNNNNNNNNNNNNNNNNNNNNNNNNNNNNNNNNNNNNNNNNNNNNNNNNNNNNNNNNNNNNNNNNNNNNNNNNNNNNNNNNNNNNNNNNNNNNNNNNNNNNNNNNNNNNNNNNNNNNNNNNNNNNNNNNNNNNNNNNNNNNNNNNNNNNNNNNNNNNNNNNNNNNNNNNNNNNNNNNNNNNNNNNNNNNNNNNNNNNNNNNNNNNNNNNNNNNNNNNNNNNNNNNNNNNNNNNNNNNNNNNNNNNNNNNNNNNNNNNNNNNNNNNNNNNNNNNNNNNNNNUGGCCGGUCGUUUCAUGAAUUACUGCUUCGUUUUCCCCUUUUCUGCUUCUUUAUUCUUUGUUCAUCUGUGUUAUAUGGUAUUGGGUUGGUCGGUUCGAAUUCGGAAUGAUUUUGGAAAGGUUUAAGACAUUUAGUCUCUUUUGGGUAAGCUUAAGUUGGAAAAGUUAACCGGAUAUUGACUUAUGUGAAAAAUGUCUCAAAUGUGAAUUUCGAUGGUUUUGAUAGCUUCGUGAGGUGAUUUGGGACUUAGGAGCGUGAUCAGAAUGUGUUUUGGAGGUCCGUAGUAGAUUUAGGCUUGAAUUGGCGAAAUUGGAAUUUUGGUAUUUUUUCGGUUGGUAGCGGAGAUUUUGAUAUAGGGGUCGGAACAUGAUUCUGGAAGUUGGAGUUGGUCCGUUUUUUCAUUUGUGACGUGUGUGCUAAAUUUCAGGUCAUUCGGACGAGGUUUGAUAGACUUUUUGAUCAAAAGCGAAAUUUGGGUAUUUUUGGAAACCUUAGGCUUGAAUCCGAUGUUAUUUUGUUUAUUUGACAUUGUUUUAGGUGUUCUGAAGAUUGGUAUAAGUUUGGAUAGUGGUAUAUGACUUGUUCGUACUUUUAGUUUAGGUCGCGGGGGCCUCGGGAUAAUUUCGGGUGGUUGACGGGAAGUUUGGAGUUGGAAAUUUGCAGCUGAAGUUGCUGAAAUUCCUAUUAUAACCGCACUUGCGGCUUGGGGACCGUAGGUAGGGGCCCGCAGAAGCGCAAGGAGGGUCGCAAAUACGGCCAAGGUCGAGGAAGAUUGGAACUACAGAUGCGGUGGUUCGAGCGCACCUGCGGCAUCGCAGGUGCGGGAUUCUGAUCGUAGGUGCGAUUCUUGAGCGGAUAAGUGACUUUCGCAGAUGCGCACCUGGGAACGCAGGUGUGGGUCCGUAGGUGCAAGAUUUUGACUGCAUAAGCGGUUUAGCUGGGGCAGAACAUAUAAAUUAAGUCCUUUGCAAAUGUUUGGUUAUUCCACCAUUUUCACAUACGGGUUUGAGCUUGGGAGAGCAAAUUGAAGAGGGAAUUCAAGAGAGUUUCGUGGAGGUAAGGUUUUUGGACCCUAAACUUGUUUCUAUGAUAGUUUUAACUGUUUAAGCUUGAAAUCUUUGGAAGUUAGUAGCAAAAUUGGGGGUCUAGGGCUUGGAAAUUGGAGACCUUAACCUAGGGAUUUGAGGGGUCAAUUGUGGUCGGAUUUUGGUAUAUUUGGUAUGCAUGAACUCGUGAGAGUGUAAGGAUUCCAAUUUUGUGAAUUUUAUCGGGAUCUGAGACGUGGGCCCAGGGGUCGGGUUUUUAUUUAAGAUCUAUACUGAGUCAUGUUGUAUUUACUGAUUUCAUAACUUAGUCUUUAUUACUCCAUUUUGAUGCAUAAAAUAAUAUUUUGGGCUAAGCACCCUGUUUUACUGAUAGCCCAAGUGACUAGAUAGGUUUCUAACUGAGUGAGGCCGAGGUCCUUUGUUGUGAGGAUAUUAUGGGAUCGGGAUGCACGUCGCAGAAUGUUGUUAUUGAUUCAUGAUUUUUAUGAGGCCGUGUGUUAGACCCCAUAUUUUCUUAAAUGAAAAUACACCAUAAAUAAAUUAAUUAAUGAGAGCUCGGAAGUGAGAUAUUACGUCCCGCAUUUUGUACGUUGAUGUUUCGUCGUAAGUUAAUCAGCGUAAGCUCGGAAAUGAGAUUAGUUUGGAAUUAUAAGUAUUAUGCUAUUUCAAACAAGGAAUAAGUAAAUUAGUGAAGGUGAAAGGGUAAGCGAAUCGAAGGAAAUGAGUUUCGUUGAAGUUUGACAUUCUGGGAUAAAAACGGUCCGAGCUAUAAUACUCGGUAUUUAUGGACUAGUACCAUAUAAGGUACCACACGACCAUAAUAGUAAGGUGUAUAAGGUAUGUAAAAAGUAAGUAAUAUUUUAAGUAAGUGGAAAUAAUUCUCAAUUUUGCGGAUAAUUAAUUAAUUACCGGGUAACGGAACACUACCUAAUUACUUAAUAAGUAGAUAAAGAUUAAAACACCCCACCCCUACCCCCACGUGGAAGCCCCCCAAUUCUUACACUGUGACUCAUGCCUUCAUUAAAUUAUGUGGCUUGAUGUGGUAAGUAAUGUUUUCUUUUGGCGGCUGAGUUGUGCCAAGUUAGGCAUUAAUUAGUUGGUAUUUAAAAUUACUAGUUUGACUUAUUCCGGUGCAUGUGGAGAGAAUAGCACUCUUUAAAGUUUUUAUAAAGCUCUAAUCAAGAUUCUUGUGUUAAAAAUGAAUCAAUCCCAAAUCCUACCAUACUCAAGGCUAACGAAUCCUAGGAAUAUUAAUGUCAAGCUAGGAGUUUUUCCUAUUGAAUUAUUUCAUACUAAUCUGUAUGAAGAUCUCAAGAGUGUAGAUGGAAUAACCAUGUAUCAUAUGUGAUGUACACAUAUCCAAAUUUCGUGAGAUCAAUAUCGUAAUGGAAUAAAUCUUUAUGGGAGGAACGUGACAAUUUGGGUUGGAAUUCACUGCACUGUGUUGUCUAUCUAGGAUUGAAAGAAGUAGUUUCUGAUAUGCUGGGGCGAAAUAAAUCCUGAAGCCUGCAUUUCAGCAUGCAGUGAAAAUCACUGGACAACAACAAUUUACAUUGUAGCCAGUGAAGGUGAUGUAAGUAUGAUAAACGAGAUUUCAAAGCACUCCACUUUGUCAAUGUAGCGUGAGAUUUUUGCAAAUUUUAAGGAGUACGGUGUAAUCUUUCUUAAGAGAAUUGGCUCAGGUAUGUUAAGGUUAUCUCUUCUUUCUUUUGGCAUGAUUCAUACGAUACAAAUGAAACAUGCAAAUGCAAAAAUUCCAUAAAUGACUCUAUUCAUAGAAGUAUUAGAGAUAUCUAUAUUCUUGAAUUUCCAUGUGUCAUAAUAUUUUAUCAUCUGUUCACCGGCCUCAGAAAAAUAUAAAAGUUGAAAAGAGUUUACUUUAUGAUAGUACUCAAAAGCAAAAUGGUCUUGUGAAGCUCCGAAAGAUUUUAUUAACGUAUUUUUCAUGCAUUGCAUACAUAUGCAUUGACCCAUGACCAGAUGACGUUAUAUACGCGUAUAUAUGUAAAUAUAUGUAUAUGGGAUAUGGGAAAAGAUUACGGCGUUAUAUAUGCACCACCACCUGAUCAGCUGGUAUAUGAUAAUGAUGUUGCCCACAAUGGAUGAAAUAUGACUCAAACGGUGUUAUAUACACGUAUAUAUGUAUCUAUAUAUAUGUAUAUGGGAUAUGAGAAAGGUUAUGGCAUUAUAUACGCAUCACCACCUGAUCGGCUGGUAUAUGAUGAUGAUGUUGCCCGCAGUGGCUAAGAUAUGAUUCAAAUGGCAUUAUAUACGCAUAUAUAUGUAUGCAUAUAUAUGUAUAUGGGAUAUGGGAAAGGUUAUGGCGUUAUAUACGCACAACCACCUGAUCAACUGGUAUACAAUGAUGAUUUUGCCCAUAGUGGCUGAUAUGAUAUGAUGGGAUGCCCUCAGAGGCUGAUGAUGUUAUGAAACAUGUACCUAUGCACGACAUGACAUCCAUACGCAUAUGCAUGACGCUAAAACUAAUUUAUGAUUUACAAAGUUAUUCAGACUUACAGGUUGAGUCAUGUACUCUAUAUUUAUUACAUGUCUCGUAUGUAUUUAUUUAUGUGCCUAACAUACUCGGUACAUUAUUCGUACUGACAUCCCUUUUGCCUGGGGAUGCUGCGUUUCAUGCCCACAAGUCCCGAUAGACAGGUCGAGAGCCCUCCAAGUAGGCUAUCAGUUCAGCGGAAGAUGUUGCUAUGCUCCAUUUGCUUCGGAGUUGCUCAUUUGGUUAGUAUGAUUUAGACGUGUAUUAUUUGGUAUGGCGGGACUCUGUCCCGACCUUUAUAACAUUGUGUACUUUUAGAGGCUUGUAGACAUAUGUCGUGUACAUAAAAGAUUGUACGGCCUUAUUGGCCUAUGUUUUGAGUUUAUAAACGAUCAUGUUGGCCUAUUAAGCCCGUAUGUCAUGUUUAUAUGAUGAUGUAAUAAGAAAGAUACAUUAUGUUGGUACUCGAUUGAGUAAGGUAUCGGGUGCCCGUCGCGGCCCAUGGGUUGGGGUCGUGACAAAAGUGGUAUUAGAGUAGUUCUGUUCUAGGGAGUCUACAAGUCGUGUCUAGUAGAGUUUUUUAUGGGUGUGUCGUGCACCACACUUAUAAGCAUGAGGCUACAGGGCAUUUAAGACUGUCAAUCUUUCUUCUUACUCUAGAUCGUGUGGUAGAGCACACUUAUAUGAAUUCAAGUCCCAAACUUCUAUUUUUGUUCGUAAUAAGAUGACGCCUACGUUCAGAAAGAUGAUCGAUAAGAGAUAUAGUUGUGGAAGUGUUGAAUUAGAGUAACUCUACUUUGAAUCAUGCUUAUGAUAAGUAAAUGUGAGAUCUUCAGCAGAUCAUGUGCGUACUGAAAGGUGUAAGCUUCUUGAUAAGGAGCCUUAAGGAGAGAAUGCCUGUCCACCUUUAUGGUGAAAGACAAUGAGAGAUUAAGAAGAUAAAUACAAGUUUCAACAAGAAAAAUAAGCAAGAUGAAGAAGGGUACGAGGCGCCUAGUUAACAAAGGUUAACAAUGUUUAUAACUCAGGCAGAGGAACAUAAGCUUUUUGAGUUAUAUUCAAUAGUAACAGGGGUAUAUACAAUUGGUCACACCUAUUCCAGAUAUGCCCUAUAGGGUUUAAUAGAAGUAGUAUAAGAAGAUAUGAUGGGUGAAUUGUUUGUGUCAGUUGACAUUUCUGAAAGAUAUUGCAAAUGUGUUAAUAGAUCUCCUUGUGAGACACCCAGAAGGUACACUUUAAAAUAGUGCAGCCAGAUAUGAGUACUACAAAGACAUGCACUAUAAGCCUUGAAGGGAUACAUAUUACCUUAGUGUGGCCUGCGUCCCUAGUAAAGCGAGAACGUUAAGCAACUUAGAGAGCCACUGGAUGGAGCAAAGGGAAGCUAAAAGAAAAAGAAUGUCUUGUUCGAGUUUGCAGAAUAAAGUGAUAGGCAUAAAUGUUGGCGGGAAAUAAGAAAAGAGUUAACAAACCAUUAUGAGUAAGAUGUGAUACAUGGAUGACAAUGGUAGAUGAAAAGAUGUCAAUAUUACAAAAUCUAUAGUCAAGUGAAUGAAGAAACGAGAAGUGACAGGCCUUAGGACAACAAAAGAGUAUAGGCCAUACAAUCAUGUCCUCAUUUCGAGAAAUAAGUUCGCAACUCUAGCGUGGUUACCAAGAGGAAAAGUUAGACCCCAGAGUAAUAGAACCAGUAUAAAUUGGUGAACAAGAUAAACUAAACAUGAAUUAGGGACUGAGUGACUGAUAAUAGUCGCCAUCAUAAGAAUUUCAGAUUUUGUUCUGCCAAUAAUAAAAUGGAUGACAAAAGAAUAUUCAUGAGAAAUUCAGAGAAUGGUCAUUUAGAAAAACGCUUCCCUACAGCAAGCAAUGUGAGCAAAUUUCAGCUUAAGGGAUUGUAUGUGCCAGUUAUACUAAGUUCAACCCUCGUGAGUAAGCAAUUUUUCUAUCCUUGGUAUGGAAGGAUUACCGUAAGGCGAGUAAGGGUCAUCGAUGAUGUGAAAGGAUGCCAAAGAUGAAAAGGUGAAACAUCUAUAGGCAGGUCGUCAUAGCUCCCAUUCUUAGUACUCCCCUAAAGGGGGGAAUAUGGCAUGAUAAAAGGAAGAAUGCGAUAAAAAUGAGAAAGGGAUGAGAUUGCACUUAUCCAAAUGCUAUAGAUAUGCUAUGAUUCCAGAACGUUAUACAAACGUGACGUCAAGGAGAAGAACUACGGGUUAUUUCCCAAGAUGUUAUUGAUAAUUAAGGAUCCAGUGUGAGACAUAAGUUAAGACUAAGGAAAUAACCCAAGAAAGAUUACGAGAAAUAUUGAUAUGAGAAUGAGCCAAUGAGUAGUUAGUGGUCAGGAAGAUCCCAGUUAUGGCCAAAUAGGAGGUUAUAGACAAGUCAUCAAAUCCUGUAAGAUAAACAUAGUAUAACCCAACGUGAAAAAUUCAGCCUCAAAGAGUAUCAUUAUAAUACUUGAGAUAUAUUCAAACAAGAGUUGGGGUAGUUAAAGGUACCGUAUAAGUAUUAUGGGGAUAAAAGAAAGUGCCACUGGAAAGGCAGUCAAAAUAUUAGUUCAGAAGCAACCCUAUAAGAACAAGGGCGUGGAGAUAAGUAACUACGGAUAAGUAUAGGCAAGGAAGGACAUCAGAAGGUCUGUCGAGUAUACAAUGUAAUAAGCUCACAACUUUACAAGAUUCAGAGGGUCUUCCCUAAGUGCUACGAUGAAAGACUAGCUGAGAAAAUAAGGAAGAAGGCUUCAACCUCGGCACAAUGACCUAAAGAGGAAAUGGUCGUGGGACAAUAGUCUCAAAACAACAUUGUAUGCACUCCCUAAGAAAGUGGCACCUAUAGUGGCUAAUGGAUAGGGAGUAAAAUCAGAAGUGAUAUUCAAGAUCAUAUGAGUUGUAUGGAAUUUCAUAUAUGUGGGCACUAAGAUAAGCUAAGUAUGGAUGCAACAAGGGGGCAGAAAGAUCAGGAAAAGUAAUAGCUUACGUUUAAAGAAAGCUAAGAUGAAAAAAGGGAUUAUUCGAUCGAUGAUUCAGAGUUGGUUACGUUAUGAACGCACGUAAGGGUUCGGAGUUUUAUACAUACAACAUAUACAACCAUAGAAGAUUCUGGUAUAUAUUAAAAGAAAGAAAUGAGCCUAGGUCACAAACGAAGGAUUAAGCUGUUAAAGGAUUGUAUCAUGCAUAUCCCAUAAGUGCCAUGAAGGGCUAAAAGUAAUAACUAACACCAUGUGCUGCAGAUCAGAAGAUAGCUUAAAGCCGGUUAGAAAAUACUAGCCUCAUAAGAAUUCAGUAUGGAACUCCCAUCAGAUUGUAUAGGCACCAGAGGUGCAAGUAUUAUAAUAGAGUUUUAAAUUAUGGAUGUGAAUUCUACCUAUAUGGAAGGAAGGUCAUGAAGGAGAUAGAAGAUGUGAUACGAAACAUUAAAGUACGUAAGGUAAAGGUAAAUAACGUACGAGAUGCAGAAGAUUGUGAAUACUCCAUAGUUCAGGUAGAAAGCGCGUGGAUUCAGUAUCCAGGAUUAAUAGCUGCAUCAUCAGUAGCAUAUCCUCCAGCCUAUGGUCUAGGUAUCGAGAAGCCUGAUUAAGAGAAUAAAGAAGAGUCAGAGACGAUGUGAUGUCUCGCUUGACGUUCUAGAAUAACAUAAGGAAAUCUAUGGUGCAAGCAAGUUGAAGAAAGGUUGCGAGUAGUAUAAAUGGAUAUGUAUAGGUCGCAAGCUGAAGUAUGGUAGAGCGACAAAGUUUUAAGAAGACAUAAGUAAGGAUAAGGAAAGGCAAAUGAAAAGGGUACAAGAAUGGAUAAGUCCUCGGGAUUAGGCCCAUGAAAACAAGGGAGCUAAUGGCUUCUCUAGGUUAUAGUAAGCUCAGUAUAGCCUGAAUGGACUCAAAGGAGUUACUCUUCAUAAGUAGCAUCUAGAAGAAAUGGAAUGCUGCCCUAAUAGUAGAAUAAGGGUGUAAUUGUGAUAAAUAAAGGAUGACGUUUGGGCCUUCAAUUGAGUAAUGAUCGGACGAUGAAAAGAAAAGGACCUCAUGACUUAGACAUGAUUAAAAUAAUCAUGCAAGGUGAAUCACAUUGGGGUGCGGUGAGAUACGGUUAUGAAAGUAUGGUAUCGCCCCAGGUGGAUCAAUCUAAUCAUUUCAGAUGUUCCCCGAUAAAACAUGAAUCCUAGCGGCAGUAUUACAUAAAAAUGUUAAGUUAUCAGGGGUGGAUUAUGGAUCAAAAUUGAGGUAAAUCAACAAUGGAUAGAUAAAAGUUAUAAAAUAUGAGAGGAGAUUAGGUCGUCAUUCUUAAGAUGAACAGUAAUGUGGAAGUAUUAGAGGACAUAAAUUUAUACGUAUGGGAUAAGAAAUGAAAAUAGCUUGGAAUUUGGUAGCAGACCUCAGUAACGAGAAAUCAAGGUAAGAGUUAUGGUAUAGUACGACCUACAUAGAUGCAGUAAAAUCAUAUGAAUGUAUAACCAGGUCUAUGAAAUAAGAUGUAGCAAUAAUCGUAAAUUCAACAAAGUACCGAGGGAAGAACUUCAAACAUAUCUAUAGACACCCAAAGGGACACUUUAUCAUAAUUCUAUAUAUGUUCAAAGUGAAGCCCAGAGAUUGGCUAAAAGCUAGAGGAAAAAGGA
rnacentral:lncRNA from 1 species